CAGUAGCCGCGGUAAUACGAAGGGGGCUAGCGUUGUUCGGAAUUACUGGGCGUAAAGCGCACGUAGGCGGAUCGAUCAGUCAGGGGUGAAAUCCCAGGGCUCAACCCUGGAACUGCCUUUGAUACUGUCGAUCUGGAGUAUGGAAGAGGUGAGUGGAAUUCCGAGUGUAGAGGUGAAAUUCGUAGAUAUUCGGAGGAACACCAGUGGCGAAGGCGGCUCACUGGUCCAUUACUGACGCUGAGGUGCGAAAGCGUGGGGAGCAAACAGGAUUAGAUACCCGCGUAGUCCCUGUCUCUUAUAC
rnacentral:rRNA from 1 species